rnacentral:rRNA from 1 species
CCUACGGGUCGCAGCAGUGGGGAAUAUUGGGCAAUGGGCGAGAGCCUGAUCCAGCAAUGCCGCGUGUGUGAAAAAGGUCUUCGGAUUGUAAAGCACUUUCGACGGGGACGAUGAUGACGGUACCCGUAGAAGAAGCCCCGGCUAACUUCGUGCCAGUAGCCGCGGUAAUACGAAGGGGGCUAGCGUUGCUCGGAAUGACUGGGCGUAAAGGGCGCGUAGGCGGUUUAUGCAGUCAGAUGUGAAAUCCCCGGGCUUAACCUGGGAACUGCAUUUGAGACGCAUAGACUAGAGGUCGAGAGAGGGUUGUGGAAUUCCCAGUGUAGAGGUGAAAUUCGUAGAUAUUGGGAAGAACACCGGUGGCGGAGGCGGCAACCUGGCUCGAUACUGACGCUGAGGCGCGAAGGCGUGGGGAGCAAACAGGAUUAGAUACCCUUGUAGUC